GACGAACGCUGGCGGCGUGCCUAACACAUGCAAGUCGAACGAGGUCCAACCGGUAGCAAUACCGGGGAAGACCUAGUGGCGAACGGGUGAGUAACACGUGAGGAACCUGCCCCGAAGACUGGGAUAACCACCCGAAAGGGUGGCUAAUACCGGAUGCCUUUACCGGACCGCAUGAUCUGGUGAAGAAAUGGAUUCCGCUUCGGGAGGGCCUCGCGGCCUAUCAGCUUGUUGGUGGGGUAAUGGCCCACCAAGGCUUCGACGGGUAGCUGGUCUGAGAGGACGAUCAGCCACACUGGGACUGAGACACGGCCCAGACUCCUACGGGAGGCAGCAGUGGGGAAUCUUGCGCAAUGGGCGAAAGCCUGACGCAGCAACGCCGCGUGGGGGAUGAAGGCUCUCGGGUUGUAAACCCCUUUCAGCAGGGACGAUUAUGACGGUACCUGCAGAAGAAGGCCCGGCCAACUACGUGCCAGCAGCCGCGGUAACACGUAGGGGCCAAGCGUUGUCCGGAUUUAUUGGGUCGU
rnacentral:rRNA from 1 species